CUCUUUCUCUCUUUUCUUCUUUGAAGGUGUUCCUUUGAUCCUUGAAGAGAGCUCUUGAACUUUGAACUUAGAAGUAAUUCUUGGAGGGAUUAGAGGCUACUUGGUGUGGGAAGUCAGCUGGUAAUUUCGUUGUGGUUGAGGUUAUACCGGUAGGCUCGAGAGUAAGGAUCGCGCUCGGGGUCGCCAUACGCUAUCUGCUCGGGACUCGAGGUAAGGGAAAGGCGAAGCUGGACCAGCCAUGAGUUGGAGAGCUAUAGGGGCGGCGUGUACAUAUGCAGCUGCUUGACCGCCACAACCAAGGAUUCAAAGAGGGUCUAGAGUGAAAAUCUAAUUUUGCCGCUUAGGCUUGUGUUGUAACUACCCUUUGGAGUUGUAAUGCUUGUAAACAUUUAUUUUGGGAUCCCAUAUAUAGACUUAAAAUUUUAAAUGAAA